UGGGGAAUAUUGCACAAUGGGCGCAAGCCUGAUGCAGCCAUGCCGCGUGUGUGAAGAAGGCCUUUGGGUUGUAAAGCACUUUCAGCGGGGAGGAAGGCGAUAAGGUUAAUAACCUUGUCGAUUGACGUCAGCCGCAGAAGAAGCACCGGCUAACUCCGUGCCAGCAGCCGCGGUAAUACGGAGGGUGCAAGCGUUAAUCGGAAUUACUGGGCGUAAAGCGCACGCAGGCGGUCUGUCAAGUCGAAUGUGAGAUCCCCGGGCUCAACCUGGAAACUGCAUCUGAUACUGGCAGGCUUGAGUCUCGUAGAGGGAGAUAGAAUUCCAGGUGUAGCGGUGAAAUGCGUAGAGAUCUGGAGGAAUACCGAUGGCGAAGGCGGCCCCCUGGGCGAUUACUGACGCUCAGAUGCGAAAGCGUGGGGAGCAAACGGG
rnacentral:rRNA from 1 species